rnacentral:misc_RNA from 1 species
GAUGAAGAACGCAGCGAAAUGCGAUAAGUAGUGUGAAUUGCAGAAUUCAGUGAAUCAUCGAAUCUUUGAACGCACAUUGCGCCUCCUGGUAUUCCGGGAGGCAUGCCUGUUCGAGCGUCAUUAAAAUCACUCAAGCUUAGGUUUACCUAUUGCUUGGUCUUGGAGAUGGAAGCCAAUUCAUUGGAAUCCUCUUCGAAAUCCAAUGGCGAGGACCCUUGCUCUCCCAAGUGUAGUAAUAACUUAUGUCACUGAAGGAAGCGAGAAAUCUUCCGCCGUAACCCCCAUAUUUUCUAUGAUUGACCUCGGAUCAGGUAGGGAUACCCGCUGAACUUAAGCAUAUCAAUAAGCGGAGGA